rnacentral:rRNA from 1 species
UACGAAGGGGGCAAGCGUUGUUCGGAAUUACUGGGCGUAAAGGGCGCGCAGGCGGCCUUAGUAGUCAGGCGUGAAAGCCCCGGGCUUAACCUGGGAAUUGCGCUUGAUACUCUGAGGCUUGAGUUCGGGAGAGGUGAGUGGAAUUCCCAGUGUAGAGGUGAAAUUCGUAGAUAUUGGGAAGAACACCGGUGGCGAAGGCGGCUCACUGGACCGAUGCUGACGCUGAGGUGCGAAAGCGUGGGGAGCAAACAGG